GUAAGAUCCCUGAAAGAUGAUCAGGUUGAUAGGUCUGAGGUGGAAGCGUGGUGACACGUGGAGCUGACAGAUACUAAUAGAUCGAGGACUUAACCUA
rnacentral:rRNA from 1 species